UACGUAGGGUGCAAGCGUUGUCCGGAAUUAUUGGGCGUAAAGAGCUCGUAGGCGGUUUGUCGCGUCUGCUGUGAAAUCCCGAGGCUCAACCUCGGGCCUGCAGUGGGGUACGGGCAGACUAGAGUGCGGUAGGGGAGAUUGGAAUUCCUGGUGUAGCGGUGGAAUGCGCAGAUAUCAGGAGGAACACCGGUGGCGAAGGCGGGUCUCUGGGCCGAUACUGACGCUGAGGAGCGAAAGCGUGGGGAGCGAACAGG
rnacentral:rRNA from 1 species